CUGAGCCGAUCCUCAAACAGGAGCGUGGGUUUUAUCGUCUGCGUCGUCGCCAUGAAGCUGCUGGUUUUGUGUCUGCUCUUUGGGGCUGUAGUUACCAUGACAACAGCAGAGAAAUCUGAGGACGAGAUGAACUCUGGAG